rnacentral:rRNA from 1 species
AACGAACGCUGGCGGCAGGCCUAACACAUGCAAGUCGAGCGAGAUCUUCGGGUCUAGCGGCGGACGGGUGAGUAGCGCGUGGGAAUAUGCCCUUCUCUGCGGAAUAGCCUCGGGAAACUGAGCGUAAUACCGCAUACGCCCUUUGGGGGAAAGAUUUAUCGGAGAAGGAUUAGCCCGCGUUGGAUUAGGUAGUUGGUGGGGUAACGGCCUACCAAGCCGACGAUCCAUAGCUGGUUUGAGAGGAUGAUCAGCCACACUGGGACUGAGACACGGCCCAGACUCCUACGGGAGGCAGCAGUGGGGAAUCUUAGACAAUGGGGGCAACCCUGAUCUAGCCAUGCCGCGUGAGUGAUGAAGGCCUUAGGGUUGUAAAGCUCUUUCAGCUGGGAAGAUAAUGACGGUACCAGCAGAAGAAGCCCCGGCUAACUCCGUG